UUUACUGCAUGAUCGCGAAAGAAUUUGUCCAACCCAUCAAACCAUUAACUAAACGCCGACAUAG
rnacentral:tRNA from 1 species